UACGGAGGAUCCGAGCGUUAUCCGGAUUUAUUGGGUUUAAAGGGUGCGUAGGCGGCGUGAUAAGUCAGUGGUGAAAGUUUGCGGCUCAACCGUAAAAUUGCCAUUGAUACUGUCAGGCUUGAGUACAGAUGAGGUAGGCGGAAUGUGUCAUGUAGCGGUGAAAUGCAUAGAUAUGACACAGAACACCAAUUGCGAAGGCAGCUUACUAAAGUGUAACUGACGCUGAGGCACGAAAGCGUGGGGAUCAAACAGG
rnacentral:rRNA from 1 species